GUGUCAGCCGCCGCGGUAAUACGGAGGGUGCAAGCGUUAUCCGGAUUCAUUGGGUUUAAAGGGUGCGCAGGCGGAUACUUAAGUCAGUGGUGAAAUCCCGGGGCUCAACCCCGGAACUGCCAUUGAUACUGAAUAUCUGGAAUACGGUUGAAGUGGGCGGAAUGUAGCAUGUAGCGGUGAAAUGCAUAGAGAUGCUACAGAACACCGAUCGCGAAGGCAGCUCACUAAGCCGAUAUUGACGCUCAGGCACGAAAGCGUGGGGAGCGAACAGGAUUAGAUACCCUGGUAGUCCACGCCGUAAACGAUGAUAACUCGUUGUUGGCGACACACAGUCAGCGACUAAGCGAAAGCGAUAAGUUAUCCACCUGGGGAUACGAUCGCAAGGUUGAAACUUAAAGGAAUUGGCGG
rnacentral:rRNA from 1 species